rnacentral:rRNA from 1 species
GAGACCUCAGUCAUGAAGAACAGCAGCUGC